AAGCACCGGCUAACUACGUGCCAGCAGCCGCGGUAAUACGUAGGGUGCGAGCGUUGUCCGGAAUUACUGGGCGUAAAGAGCUCGUAGGUGGUUUGUCGCGUCGUCUGUGAAAUUCCGGGGCUUAACUCCGGGCGUGCAGGCGAUACGGGCAUAACUUGAGUGCUGUAGGGGAGACUGGAAUUCCUGGUGUAGCGGUGAAAUGCGCAGAUAUCAGGAGGAACACCGAUGGCGAAGGCAGGUCUCUGGGCAGUAACUGACGCUGAGGAGCGAAAGCAUGGGGAGCGAACAGGAUUAGAUACCCUGGUAGUCCAUGCCGUAAACGUUGGGCACUAGGUGUGGGGGACAUUCCACGUUUUCCGCGCCGUAGCUAACGCAUUAAGUGCCCCGCCUGGGGAGUACGGCCGCAAGGCUAAAACUCAAAGGAAUUGACGGGGGCCCGCACAAGCGGCGGAGCAUGCGGAUUAAUUCGAUGCAACGCGAAGAACCUUACCAAGGCUUGACAUAUACUGGACCGCAUCAGAGAUGGUGUUUCCCUUCGGGGCUGGUAUACAGGUGGUGCAUGGUUGUCGUCAGCUCGUGUCGUGAGAUGUUGGGUUAAGUCCCGCAACGAGCGCAACCCUUGUCUUAUGUUGCCAGCACGUUAUGGUGGGGACUCAUGAGAGACUGCCGGGGUUAACUCGGAGGAAGGUGGGGAUGACGUCAAAUCAUCAUGCCCCUUAUGUCUUGGGCUUCACGCAUGCUACAAUGGCCGGUACAGAGGGUUGCGAUACUGUGAGGUGGAGCUAAUCCCUAAAAGCCGGUCUCAGUUCGGAUUGGGGUCUGCAACUCGACCCCAUGAAGUCGGAGUCGCUAGUAAUCGCAGAUCAGCAACGCUGCGGUGAAUACGUUCCCGGGCCUUGUACACACCGCCCGUCAAGUCACGAAAGUUGGUAACACCCGAAGCCGGUGGCCUAACCCUUUUGGGAGGGAGCCGUCUAAGGUGGGAUUGGCGAUUGGGACUAAGUCGUAACAAGGUAGCCGUACCGGAAGGUGCGGCUG
rnacentral:rRNA from 1 species